UACUCUCAUUAACCCUAAUUCACCCACACCAUUCUCAUCUUCUCCGAUCAGAUACCAUUGUCGUGUCCGAGUGCCAUUGUCGUCUUCUUCACCACCGUCUUGUGCGUCUUGCCGCCGUCUCCUGAGGUCCCGUCGGUGUUGUCUUCUGCAGUCUCAGCAUCUUCUUCUGUAGUCUCGGUGUCGUCGCCUUCUUCGUUGAGAUCUCGGCGCCGUCUUUGUCGUCUUCAAGCAGGGUUUUAGCGAUGUGCUUCGUUGAAUUUGCCAGAUCUCUAAAUUUUGUGAGGGAUUUUGUUCUUGUUAUGAUAGGGAACGGGGCUGUUGGAGUGGUUCUUGUUGCCGCUCACAUUCUCGUUUACCUCUUCCCUUCUUCUCUUACCUACUUUGCUCUCGUUCCUGCCAGG